rnacentral:rRNA from 1 species
GUAGGGUGUGGGGCAGGCAAAUCCGCCUCACGUGAAGCCCGAGAGGUGAUGGGGAGGGAAGUAUAAGUACCGAAGUGGCCGAGCCCACACUGCCUAGAAAAACCUCUAACGAUGGCUGGCCGGUGCCCGUACCGCAAACCGACACAGGUAGGCGGGGAGAGGAUCCUCAGGCGCGCGAGAGAACCCCCGUUAAGGAACUCGGCAAAUUGACCCCGUAACUUCGGGAGAAGGGGUGCCCCGUUAGCGUGAAGGUGCGGAGCUGCUGGAGCGCGAGGGGGUUGCAGGGAAGAGGCCCAAGCGACUGUUUACCAAAAACACAGGUCCCUGCGAAAGCGAAAGCUGAGGUAUAGGGGCUGACGCCUGCCCAGUGCUGGAAGGUUAAGGGGAGGGGUUAGCCGGGGGGAGACCUCUGGCGAAGCUCUGAACCGAAGCCCCAGUAAACGGCGGCCGUAACUAUAACGGUCCUAAGGUAGCGAAAUUCCUUGUCGGGUAAGUUCCGACCUGCACGAAAGGCGUAACGACUUGGGCGCUGUCUCAACGGGGGGCUCGGCGAACUUGUAGUACCCGUGAAGAUGCGGGUUACCUGCGGCGGGACAGAAAGACCCCGUGGAGCUUUACUGCAGCCUGACAUUGGACCUUGGUACUGCAUGUACAGGAUAGGUGGGAGGCGUAGAAGCUGGGGCGCCAGCUCUGGUGGAGCCGGCCUUGGGAUACCACCCUUGUGGUGCUGGGGUUCUAACAGGGUGUCGUGGAAGCCGGCACAUGGACAGUGUCAGGUGGGCAGUUUGACUGGGGCGGUCGCCUCCUAAAGGGUAACGGAGGCGCCCAAAGGUUCCCUCAGCGCGGUUGGAAAUCGCGCGGUAGAGUGCAAAGGCAUAAGGGGGCUUGACAGCGAGACUUACGAGUCGAGCUGGGACGAAAGUCGGGCUUAGUGAUCCGGCGGUACCGAGUGGAAGGGCCGUCGCUCAUCGGAUAAAAGCUACCCCGGGGAUAACAGGCUUAUCUCCCCCAAGAGUUCACAUCGACGGGGAGGUUUGGCACCUCGAUGUCGGCUCAUCGCAUCCUGGGGCUGGAGCAGGUCCCAAGGGUUGGGCUGUUCGCCCAUUAAAGCGGUACGUGAGCUGGGUUCAGAACGUCGUGAGACAGUUCGGUCCCUAUCCGCCGCAGGCGCAGGAAACUUGAGGGGGGCCGUCCCUAGUACGAGAGGACCGGGAUGGACAGACCGCUGGCGUACCAGUUGUCCCGCCAGGGGCACAGCUGGGUACCCAAGUCUGGGAGGGAUAAGCGCUGAAAGCAUCUAAGCGCGAAGCCCGCCCCGAGAUGAGGUUUCCCGCGGAGUUAAUCCGGUAAGACCCCUGGAAGACUACCAGGUAGAUAGGCCGGGCGUGUAAGCCGGGUAACCGGUUGAGCGGACCGGUACUAAUAGGUCGAGGGCUUGAUUCC